AUGGAUAAAGGCCGAAGAAAACGCUCAAAAAACUUAAGUGAAUUUGAGAAGAUCCUUUUUAAACAAAUUGUAUCAAACUAUCAUGUAAUUGAAAACAAACAGCAUGAUUCAGGUACAGAAAACAAGAAGAAGGCUUGGAUUUCCAUAUUGAAUGAAUUCAACUCAAAUGAAAAAGUAACCAAACGGACACUCCAACAAGUUCAGGUCCUGUGGAAAAACAUAAAAAUAAACCUGAAAAAAAAAACAACUGCUGCUACGCGUCAAGAGAAUUUCAAGACAGGUGGGGGACUUCCAGUUCCACCAGACACAGAGGAGUUGGGGGACUUGUUAGCUGGGAUUAUUGAAAGUCAGCAACCCCUGGAAGGUAUUCCAGAUGAUGACCACUUGGACAGUUCAGAUGACCUGAUCUUCACACAGGACUUGGGGGGCGCAGGGAACAGUCAAGCUGCUCAAAUGAAUCCAGCAGCAGCCAGCACCAACAUGCAGCAGCAUCCAGUCUCCUGCAGUAGCAUUAGUCAGCAUCCAGCAGUCUCUAAUCCAGGCAGCAGGUCAAGAGGGAAAAGGAUGACCAUUCAUGAGAAACUUGCCAUAGAGUUCCAUGAACGUAAAUUACAAUAUUUAAAAGAAGAACAUGAAGUCAAAAUGAAAAUUCUUCAUCUUGAGUUGUCUAUGAAAGAGAGAGACAUGAAGCAGCAGCAGUGUCAAUUGUCUUUGGAACAAAAUCUCAGUUAA
ensembl:lncRNA